CCAAUAGCGUAUAUUAAAGUUGUUGCAGUUAAAAAGCUCGUAGUUGAACCUUGGGCCUGGCUGGCCGGUCCGCCUCACCGCGUGCACUGGUUCGGCCGGGCCUUUCCCUCUGGGGAACCUCAUGCCCUUCACUGGGUGUGCUGGGGAACCAGGACUUUUACUGUGAAAAAAUUAGAGUGUUCAAAGCAGGCCUAUGCUCGAAUACAUUAGCAUGGAAUAAUAGAAUAGGACGUGUGGUUCUAUUUUGUUGGUUUCUAGGACCGCCGUAAUGAUUAAUAGGGACAGUCGGGGGCAUCAGUAUUCAAUUGUCAGAGGUGAAAUUCUUGGAUUUAUUGAAGACUAACUACUGCGAAAGCAUUUGCCAAGGAUGUUUUCAUUAAUCAGGAACGAAAGUUAGGGGAUCGAAGACGAUCAGAUACCGUCGUAGUCUUAACCAUAAACUAUGCCGACUAGGGAUCGGACGAUGUUACUUUUUGACUCGUUCGGCACCUUACG
rnacentral:rRNA from 1 species